rnacentral:rRNA from 1 species
GUGCCUAACACAUGCAAGUCGAGCGAGAAGUCGGAAGUGAAACUUCGGUGAAGCAGAAGAUGGAAAGCGGCAGACGGGUGAGUAACGCGUGAAUAAUCAACCCUGUACAAAGGGAUAGCCUCGGGAAACCGGGAUUAAUACCAUAUGAAGUAUAUUAAUCGCAUGAUAGAUAUAUUAAAACUUUGGUGGUACAGGACGAGUUCGCGUCCCAUUAGCUAGUUGGUGAGAUAAAAGCUUACCAAGGCGACGAUGGGUAGCCGGCCUGAGAGGGUGAACGGCCACACUGGAACUGAGACACGGUCCAGACUCCUACGGGAGGCAGCAGUGGGGAAUAUUGCACAAUGGAGGA